GCGGCCCCUCCAGGUCUUCCAGAAGAUUCCCUGUUUCCUCUGGUGCCUCUGUUUGGGCGGCGGGCUCUGGAAGUAUCGGCCGUUGAGAUUGGACUGACCGCAGUUGCUGAACCACCAGCCACCUACGGGACAACAAGAAAGAAAGCAUCAAGAGAGAUUCAACAGGGAUGUCAACCUUCACCCCAACAUCACACCUUUAUGCAUAGUGGGGUCUGGAUCCCUCGUGCGUGAAGGACUGAGGAGACAAGGAUGUGAAUGAGAGAGCAGAUGUUGCAAGAAGAGCGCGAGGCGGCCAACGUCCUCUAGUAACCUCCGAGGCAUGAAGUCCAUGCAGACAUCAUGGAGAUGUGGAUGUUGGAAGGUUUGGGGCUUUGAGCGCCAGCGACGCGAGUCUUGAUUCUUUGGGCCAAAGCCCGGACGUAAGUGCAUGUCUUAAGUUAGAGAUGGUUUCACUACAAUACAGAAGUGAAUUUCGGCAGCAAAGUUGAUUUUUUUCUAAGUUGA